rnacentral:rRNA from 1 species
GCCUACGGGGGGCAGCAGUGAGGAAUAUUGGUCAAUGGGCGAGAGCCUGAACCAGCCAAGUCGCGUGAGGGAAGACGGUCCUAUGGAUUGUAAACCUCUUUUGUCGGGGAGCAAAAAGACUACGUGUAGUCCCAAGCGAGAGUACCCGAAGAAAAAGCAUCGGCUAACUCCGUGCCAGCAGCCGCGGUAAUACGGAGGAUGCGAGCGUUAUCCGGAUUUAUUGGGUUUAAAGGGUGCGUAGGCUGAAUGUCAAGUCAGCGGUAAAAAUUCCGGGCUCAACCCGGUCGUGCCGUUGAAACUGGCGU